rnacentral:rRNA from 1 species
CAGUCGCCGCGGUAAUACGUAGGGCGCAAGCGUUAUCCGGAAUUAUUGGGCGUAAAGAGCUCGUAGGCGGUUUGUCGCGUCUGCCGUGAAAGUCCGGGGCUCAACCCCGGAUCUGCGGUGGGUACGGGCAGACUAGAGUGAUGUAGGGGAGACUGGAAUUCCUGGUGUAGCGGUGAAAUGCGCAGAUAUCAGGAGGAACACCGAUGGCGAAGGCAGGUCUCUGGGCAUUAACUGACGCUGAGGAGCGAAAGCAUGGGGAGCGAACAGGAUUAGAGACCCCCGUAGUCCCUGUCUCUUAUAC